rnacentral:rRNA from 1 species
AAAUUGAGAGUUUGAUCCUGGCUCAGGAUGAACGCUGGCGGCGUGCCUAAUACAUGCAAGUCGAACGCUUUGUGGUUCAACUGAUUUGAAGAGCUUGCUCAGAUAUGACGAUGGACAUUGCAAAGAGUGGCGAACGGGUGAGUAACACGUGGGAAACCUACCUCUUAGCAGGGGAUAACAUUUGGAAACAGAUGCUAAUACCGUAUAACAAUGACAACCGCAUGGUUGUUAUUUAAAAGAUGGUUCUGCUAUCACUAAGAGAUGGUCCCGCGGUGCAUUAGCUAGUUGGUAAGGUAAUGGCUUACCAAGGCGAUGAUGCAUAGCCGAGUUGAGAGACUGAUCGGCCACAAUGGGACUGAGACACGGCCCAUACUCCUACGGGAGGCAGCAGUAGGGAAUCUUCCACAAUGGGCGAAAGCCUGAUGGAGCAACGCCGCGUGUGUGAUGAAGGGUUUCGGCUCGUAAAACACUGUUGUAAGAGAAGAAUGACAUUGAGAGUAACUGUUCAAUGUGUGACGGUAUCUUACCAGAAAGGAACGGCUAAAUACGUGCCAGCAGCCGCGGUAAUACGUAUGUUCCAAGCGUUAUCCGGAUUUAUUGGGCGUAAAGCGAGCGCAGACGGUUAUUUAAGUCUGAAGUGAAAGCCCUCAGCUCAACUGAGGAAUUGCUUUGGAAACUGGAUGACUUGAGUACAGUAGAGGAAAGUGGAACUCCAUGUGUAGCGGUGAAAUGCGUAGAUAUAUGGAAGAACACCAGUGGCGAAGGCGGCUUUCUGGACUGUAACUGACGUUGAGGCUCGAAAGUGUGGGUAGCAAACAGGAUUAGAUACCCUGGUAGUCCACACCGUAAACGAUGAGUGCUAGGUGUUUGAGGGUUUCCGCCCUUAAGUGCCGCAGCUAACGCAUUAAGCACUCCGCCUGGGGAGUACGACCGCAAGGUUGAAACUCAAAGGAAUUGACGGGGACCCGCACAAGCGGUGGAGCAUGUGGUUUAAUUCGAAGCAACGCGAAGAACCUUACCAGGUCUUGACAUCCCUUGACAACUCCAGAGAUGGAGCGUUCCCUUCGGGGACAAGGUGACAGGUGGUGCAUGGUUGUCGUCAGCUCGUGUCGUGAGAUGUUGGGUUAAGUCCCGCAACGAGCGCAACCCUUAUUACUAGUUGCCAGCAUUUAGUUGGGCACUCUAGUGAGACUGCCGGUGACAAACCGGAGGAAGGUGGGGAUGACGUCAAAUCAUCAUGCCCCUUAUGACCUGGGCUACACACGUGCUACAAUGGCGUAUACAACGAGUUGCCAACCCGCGAGGGUGAGCUAAUCUCUUAAAGUACGUCUCAGUUCGGAUUGUAGGCUGCAACUCGCCUACAUGAAGUCGGAAUCGCUAGUAAUCGCGGAUCAGCACGCCGCGGUGAAUACGUUCCCGGGUCUUGUACACACCGCCCGUCACACCAUGAGAGUUUGUAACACCCAAAGCCGGUGGGGUAACCUUCGGGAGCCAGCCGUCUAAGGUGGGACAGAUGAUUAGGGUGAAGUCGUAACAAGGUAGCCGUAGGAGAACCUGCGGCUGGAUCACCUCCUUUCUAAGGAA